GACGAACCGUGCGAACGUUGUUCGGAAUCACUGGGCUUAAAGGGCGCGUAGGCGGGCGGUCAAGUCAGGGGUGAAAGCUCCCGGCUCAACUGGGAGAGGUCCUUGCAUACUGGCGAACUCGAGGGAGGCAGAGGAAAGUGGAAUUCCCGGUGUAGUGGUGAUAUGCGUAGAUAUCGGGAGGAACACCUGUGGCGAAGGCGGCUUUCUGGGCCUUACCUGACGCUGAGACGCGAAAGCGUGGGGAGCGAACCGG
rnacentral:rRNA from 1 species